UGGCCUGAAAAGGUACAACCCUGAAACUGAACUCCCUCACUUGCCUACAUAGGUCUAACUCAACCUCAUUUUCUGAGUUUGGAAAUCUGAAUUUCAAGAUGCUUCGACUCUUUAUGAACCAGUUCCCCCAAAAGAAACUGUACAAUAUUCUUAUUCCUUGCAGCACACCCUCCACAUCCUUGCCUUUGCCUACUAGUUAAGAUUUGCAUACAAGGAAAAUGAGCACAUGAUCUCUAUCCUGUUAAACCCAGACUUUAGAUUUUAUGCUAGGAGCUGUAUACCUUUUAGGGCAAACAAGCACUAUGCAAUGUCAUGCACACAAACUAAUGUAAAGUUAAUUUACAUCAGAAAGAAAGCCUUGCCUAUCCUUUUCCCCCUCCCCCAGGACCCAGAAGGUGGAGGUAAAUCCUCAAUAAACCAAUGAUUUUUUUCUUAGGUAUCCCAAUUCUUUGGAGGAUGCUACAAAUGUAAAUAGAUUCAUUAAAUGUUCCACAAAGUCCUGGUGUUAGCUGAGGAACUAUUGGCAAUUGAUACCUGCUGGGAAAGGGAGAGUCAGCUUUUUUUUUUUUUUUUCAAGGUUGUGUCCUCUGAUCUGAUAGGCUGUUCAUGUUCCAGUGAAUGGUCACAUAUCCAUGCCUAUACUUAUAUACUGCACCAAAAUGUAGAGUCAGUGUGAAACAAAACAAAACAAAGCAAAAACAUUAAAAACAUCUUGAAGCUGAGAAGAAAAUGUGGUGGCAGCAUAUGGCCAAGCAGGAAGUUGGUAGAUGGGCUUCAUAAAUUUUAUUAUGUACAUUAUUAUACAAUACUCAAUAAUAUAAUUUUAACAAAAUUUCCAACAUUCUUCUCUUCCAUUUUUACCCCCUUCCUUUCUUCUUUCCUUUCAUCUGGUUCUUUAAUAGUUUUUAGUUUUAUUUUCAUUUUCUUUUCCCCCCCUUCCCCUUCCCCUUCCUGCUCCCUCUUGGCAAGCUUGCAGUUUACUUCAGUUCAGGGAAAUUGAUGAAAGACUGUCUUCUCACCCCCUGCCCUCACCUCUAUUGAGCUUCCUACCUGGCCAUAUGCAGGGCUCAAGCCUCUCCUCGAGUGCAGGAACAGCAACGGGGGAUGCACGUGACUUGAGUAGAACACGCAGUUUCUCCCGUUCUGCAGCUUCCAGGGCCUGAAGAAGCGAGUUUACAUUACACUACUCCAUCACCAUUUUUUCUCUUACCCUUAUACUAUAUCAUGAGUUCGAAAAAGUGGCUUUAGCAUCAUAUCAUAGCAGAAGCUUCUAUGCUGAUGUUUUUUCAUUUUUGUUUUUGUCUUUGUUUUGUUUUGUUUUUUUCACCAUAUUUUUGAAUGAUUUCCCAGCAAGUAGUUUCUAUCAUGUUUUCAAUUGCACCCAGGAGCUUUAAAUUCUAAACUGGCUAUAAGCCUGGAAUUCCUCAUUUGGAUUCUGCAAUGUGGAAGCCCAGUUCUGAGAAGCAGAAGAAAAUAGAACAAGACAGAAAGUGUUUGUGAUGAAUAAGAUUGGAUACAUGCACACUGAUAUCUCAUACUUGCUCUUCUUUUAAAUAGCAUUUGUCUUUGAGUGCCUGAGACUCCAUCUUUCUGUAAGUACCCUGGUUUAGAACUUCUUAUGCAAUAAGAAAAUCUCAGAAAUCCUAAAUGAGAAAGAUCUUAAUGGCUGGAGCAGUUGUUCCAGCUUCUAUGCUGAUGUUUUUUCAUUUUUGUUUUUGUCUUUGUUUUGUUUUGUUUUUAUCACCAUAUUUUUGAAUGAUUUCCCAGCAAGUAGUUUCUAUCAUGUUUUCAAUUGCACCCAGGAGCUUUAAAUUCUAAACUGGCUAUAAGCCUGGAAUUCCUCAUUUGGAUUCUGCAAUGUGGAAGCCCAGUUCUGAGAAGUUGAUGCUGUCAUGUUUACCCUGAGCCAUGAAGAUAGAGGAACAUCACACUCUGGAAUGGGCUCUUCUCUAUUUCUGGUCUUUCAAUGUUUUCUGAUAAAUCAAGGUAGGUGCUAGGAGUGAACAAGGCAAGUUCAUAGGCAUAAGCAAUGGGAAGAAAUCCAUAAUAUAGCUAUAAACCCCUUUUAAAAAUGAUUACUCAUAUUUAAAUAUGAAAGAACAAUAUAAUUCUCAGGAUGUAUGCAAAGUAGACCAGGGGAAUAUGAAAAGAAAAUUCUGUCAUGAUAAUCAAGUAGCAGAUUUUAAUCAAAUUAGAAGUAAUUAAUCUUACCUUUCAAAUUGGCCAUUAAAAAUAAAUUAUAAAUUGCAUAGGCAGUAGACUACUCAAUGAUCUCUAGGAAAAGAACACUGGUUGACCCAAGUGUAUCAAAAAUGGAGGGUUUUUUUUGUUUUUUGUUUUUUGGUUUUUGGUUUUUUUUUUUUUUUUGCAGAAAUCACAGAACUGAGGAGAGUUUAUUGAAGAACAAUGCCUACAGCAAGACUAUAACAAAAUCACUCCAAAAUAAACUUCAGAACUGCUUUGAUAAGACAGCAUUAGUAACUGGAAAAGCAAAGAGAAAGCCAUGUUCUUUCGGCAUUUCAUUCUUGGUUUUUAAUUUAAAGCAGUUUUUUCUCUUUUACAGUAUAUCCUGACUAGAGUUUCCCCUUCCUUUUCAGCUCUCAGUUUCUCUCCACCUUUCCUCCCCUACUACAGAUCCAUUCCUUUUCUGCAUCUGAUUAGGU
rnacentral:lncRNA from 1 species